rnacentral:lncRNA from 1 species
UCACACAAUCACCUUUUAGCACUUCAGGCAACCGUGGUAAGUUAAAUCUGACAAGUUAUCAUACUAGACUGUUGGGCAUGAUAUGUGCAUUUGGUCAGUAUGCAAGAGCCAUUCAAACUUCCAGGACUUAGAUUGGUCCUGGCCAGUCACUGCUAAAGUGCAAGCAAAAACCUUGUGACCUAAACCCAAGGAAGGAUUCAGAGUCAAUCAUUACUGGUGGGAUCACAAGAGGUUAGCGUAGAUGAAUAGCCCUGCACAAAUAUAGGGCUCGAGUCUGCUUUUGAAUACCGCUGCAAGUAUCUAUUUGGCAUUUACAACUUUCAGAGUCCAGGACCAGAAGCACAGGCCAAGGUUAAAGGUUGUUAAAAUCAUGAGCAGGUGAGGAUAGAUAAAAACAUGGAAUGUGAAGUUCAUGCGUGCAGAGCGAUACUUCAUUUGUGGAUGUGACUGAGAAUGAGGACUGCAAUUGAUCAUAUGCUGUUUUUCUGCAUCAGUUCCAGGGCACAACCACUAUGCACAUGACAUGUGCAUCAUUCAGCGUGCUGAGCUCACCAGAAUCUGCAAGCGUACCAACUGGUUCGUACAAUCCUUACUUUGGUAAAUGGUCGAGUCUGCAGAUAUGUAAAUUGUUGAGAUAAAAAUGUUUUUCGUAGACAUUGCAGGCCACAGUUCCACAAUGAGUCCUGCCUCCAUAGCCAUACAAAAGCAGGAAACAGUGCCAAGUUACAGUGUGCAUACAAAUGUCACUGAAAGAGUACUCAGCAAUUGGUUGGAAGUGUCUCCCGGUACCUCAACGUGCAAUUAGUUGGAGAAAGGGGGAAGCUUGGCUUCAAAGGCCCAAGACCAAGUGUCAGAAACAAAUGCUGAAAUAGAGACAGCAGCUGAAAUAUUGCACCUGAAAAGGAGGCUCUCUGUAUCACAGCGGAGAGUCAGUGUAUUGGAAAUCGAAAACAAGAAUCUCAAAGCAGGUAUACAGUGCUAUU